UACGGAGGUGGCUAGCGUUGUUCGAAAUUACUGGGCGUAAAGCGCACGUAGGCGGCUUUGUAAGUUAGAGGUGAAAGCCUGGAGCUCAACUCCAGAAUUGCCGUUAAGACUGCAUCGCUUGAAUACAGGAGAGGUGAGUGGAAUUCCGAGUGUAGAGGUGAAAUUCGUAGAUAUUCGGAAGAACACCAGUGGCGAAGGCGGCGCACUGGACUGGUAUUGACGCUGAGGUGCGAAAGCGUGGGGAGCAAACAGG
rnacentral:rRNA from 1 species